rnacentral:rRNA from 1 species
UACGUAGGCAGCAAGCGUUGUUCGGAGUUACUGGGCGUAAAGGGUGUGUAGGCGGUUUUCUAAGUUUGGUGUGAAAUCUCCCGGCUUAACUGGGAGGGUGCGCCGAAAACUGGAAAGCUAGAGUACUGGAUGGGAGAGUGGAAUUCCUGGUGUAGCGGUGAAAUGCGUAGAUAUCAGGAGGAACACCUGUGGUGUAGACGGCUCUCUGGACAGUCACUGACGCUGAGACACGAAAGCGUGGGUAGCAAACAGG